rnacentral:rRNA from 1 species
GGGGAAUAUUGGACAAUGGACCGAGAGUCUGAUCCAGCAAUUCUGUGUGCACGAUGAAGUUUUUCGGAAUGUAAAGUGCUUUCAGUUGGGAAGAAAAAAAUGACGGUACCAACAGAAGAAGUGACGGCUAAAUACGUGCCAGCAGCCGCGGUAAUACGGAAGGUCCGGGCGUUAUCCGGAUUUAUUGGGUUUAAAGGGAGCGUAGGCUGGAGAUUAAGUGUGUUGUGAAAUGUAGACGCUCAACGUCUGACUUGCAGCGCAUACUGGUUUCCUUGAGUACGCACAACGUUGGCGGAAUUCGUCGUGUAGCGGUGAAAUGCUUAGAUAUGACGAAGAACUCCGAUUGCGAAGGCAGCUGACGGGAGCGCAACUGACGCUGAAGCUCGAAGGUGCGGGUAUCGAACAGGAUUAGAUACCCUGGUAGUCCGCACAGUAAACGAUGGAUGCCCGCUGUUGGUACCUGGUAUCAGCGGCUAAGCGAAAGCAUUAAGCAUCCCACCUGGGGAGUACGCCGGCAACGGUG